rnacentral:rRNA from 1 species
UGGAGGGGGAUAACUACUGGAAACGGUAGCUAAUACCGCAUAACGUCGCAAGACCAAAGAGGGGGACCUUCGGGCCUCUUGCCAUCAGAUGUGCCCAGAUGGGAUUAGCUAGUAGGUGGGGUAAUGGCUCACCUAGGCGACGAUCCCUAGCUGGUCUGAGAGGAUGACCAGCCACACUGGAACUGAGACACGGUCCAGACUCCUACGGGAGGCAGCAGUG